rnacentral:rRNA from 1 species
CCUGGCUCAGGACGAACGCUGGCGGCGUGCCUAAUACAUGCAAGUAGAACGCUGAAGGAGGAGCUUGCUUCUCUGGAUGAGUUGCGAACGGGUGAGUAACGCGUAGGUAACCUGCCUGGUAGCGGGGGAUAACUAUUGGAAACGAUAGCUAAUACCGCAUAAGAGUAGAUGUUGCAUGACAUUUGCUUAAAAGGUGCAAUUGCAUCACUACCAGAUGGACCUGCGUUGUAUUAGCUAGUUGGUGGGGUAACGGCUCACCAAGGCGACGAUACAUAGCCGACCUGAGAGGGGUAAUCGGCCAAACUGGGACUAGAACACGGCCCAAACGCCUACG